GGUGGAGGCUGCACCUGCUGGCAGGGUGAUUGCAAGCGGGCCAAUAGCGCCAGAGGGCGCUCAGUAUAAAAAGUAGAGGUGAGCUCCAGUCUGACGUUGUUUGCUGUUGACACACCACGCUUCCGUGUUGAGCUGUCUGUGCGCUGAGUACAGGUGAGGUUGACUACCUGCGUAUUUACAGCUGCUUAUACAUCGUAGUCAUGUAGAGCCUUUUAUCAGCAGGAACGGACGGGCGUAUUUACCUCCACAUUGAUUGUGGGUGAAGUGGUUCCUGCAAAAACAGUGCCAACAUUUGAGCGUUCCCAUUUGGGUGCAAGUGUGGAGAGCUUGCUAAUUGGAAUCUCGACUGUCACACAAAGCUGCUGCUUUGCCUGCACCAAGUCACUGCUUACUUAGCGGUUGCGAGAGAGAGACCGGCUGCCGGGGACACGCCCCCCCCACCCCCUCUUCCGAAAUCGAAACAAGGAGCGGCUGAUCGCAUUCAUUUCGGAUUGGAUUGGACUGGGUUGCUCAUUUUGCUGUGCCGUCGAGCAUAGGGAUUUUAUGGGUUUAUUUUGACAUUUUUAUUUCUUUUAUUGCCUGUAGUUUUAACAAAUUGUCUUUUCUUAUUUUUAUUUUCUAGACUACCGGUGGUGCGCUCGGGCCCUGGAUGCGGCGUCCCUUUUUGGUGUGACUGUAGUGAUCAAUACCAAUAGGUGGAGGAAAUUACAAGGAGUGAGUGACUUCACGGGUGUUUGUUUUGAUUUCUUUGCUUUGGAGCCUACCAUCCAGGACCUGGCUGUAUCCACCGGUAAGCCUAUUCGGAUUUGUUUUGUGAAUUUUUCUUUUGGUUCAGAUACAGGUAUUUUUUUUUACUCUGUCAUAAUAAAUUAUUAUUGUCUUGAG